UGGUUCGUAACUCAACUGGUUAGAGUACCGGUCUUUUAAACCGGGUGCUGUGGGUUCGAGUCCCACCGGGCCAA
rnacentral:tRNA from 1 species